AACGAACGCUGGCGGCAGGCUUAACACAUGCAAGUCGAACGCGUGUAGCAAUACACGAGUGGCGCACGGGUGAGUAACGCGUGGAUAUCUGCCUUUUGGUUCGGAAUAACUCCGGGAAACUGGAGCUAAUACCGGAUGGUUCCUACGGGAUAAAGAUUUAUCGCCAAAAGAUGAGUCCGCGUACGAUUAGCUAGUUGGUGGGGUAAUGGCCCACCAAGGCGACGAUCGUUAGCUGGUCUGAGAGGACGAUCAGCCACACUGGGACCGAGACACGGCCCAGACUCCUACGGGAGGCAGCAGUGGGGAAUAUUGGACAAUGGGGGCAACCCUGAUCCAGCCAUGCCGCGUGAGUGAUGAAGGCCUUCGGGUUGUAAAGCUCUUUUGGCGGGGACGAUGAUGACGGUACCCGCAGAAUAAGCCCCGGCUAACUUCGUGCCAGCAGCCGCCGUAAUAC
rnacentral:rRNA from 1 species